CCUUACACAUGCAAGUCGAACGGUAACAGGUCUUCGGAUGCUGACGAGUGGGGAACGGGUGAGUAAUACAUCGGAACGUGCCUAGUAGUGGGGGAUAACUACUCGAAAGAGUGGCUAAUACCGCAUGAGAUCUACGGAUGAAAGCAGGGGAUCGCAAGACCUUGUGCUACUAUAGCGGCCGAUGGCAGAUUAUGUAGUUGGUGGGAUAAAAGCUUACCAAGCCGACGAUCUGUAGCUGGGCUGAGAGGACGAUCAGCCACACUGGGACUGAGACACGGCCCANACUCCUACGGGAGGCAGCAGUGGGGAAUUUUGGACAAUGGGCGCAAGCCUGAUCCANCAAUGCCGCGUGCNGGAUGAAGGCCUUCNGGUUGUAAACUGCUUUUGUACGNAACGAAAAGCCCUGGGUUAAUACCCUGGGGUCAUGACGGUACCNNANGAAUAAGCACCGGCUAACUAC
rnacentral:rRNA from 1 species